UAGCCACGUCGUCUCAGCACUAAUG
rnacentral:misc_RNA from 1 species